rnacentral:rRNA from 1 species
UCGUUAGUUGCCAUCAUUUGGUUGGGCACUCUAGUGAGACUGCCGGUGACAAACCGGAGGAAGGUGGGGAUGACGUCAAGUCCUCAUGGCCCUUAUGGGUAGGGCUUCACACGUCAUACAAUGGUCGGUACAGAGGGUUGCCAAGCCGCGAGGUGGAGCCAAUCCCUUAAAGCCGAUCGUAGUCCGGAUCGUAGUCUGCAACUCGACUACGUGAAGUCGGAAUCGCUAGUAAUCGCAGAUCAGCAUGCUGCGGUGAAUACGUUCCCGGGUCUU